rnacentral:rRNA from 1 species
AAGGGCACCACAAGAACGCGUGGAGCAUGUGGCUUAAUUUGACUCAACGCGGGAAAUCUUACCGGGUCCGGACACACUGAGGAUUGACAGGCAAUCAUGUGAAUUGUUUUUUUUAUUUUUUUUUAAUUAUAAAAAAAGCAUUCACAUAUAAAUAUGCUAGUCCUUUCAUGAUUAUGUGAUAGGUGGUGCAUGGCCGUUCUUAGUUCGUGGAGUGAUCUGUCUGCUUAAUUGCGUUUCAUACUGGACUUAGAAAUCAAGUGUGUUUAUUUUUCUUGUACAUUGUUCUUUUUUUUUUUUAAAUUUAAAAUAAUUUCANGKUACUUUAAUUAGAUNAAUAAAUWCMCAUYUAGUCCUGAAAGCAACGAACGUGACCGCAUCCUCUUGUUCCCUUUUAACUUAAAACUUUUUUUUUAAUUUUUUUUUAAUUUAUUUUUUAAAACGCUUUAUAACAUAARAGGCUUUCUUAAAACUAGAGGGACCGCUGCGACUUUUUUAAACCAGAGGAAGGUUGCGGCAAUAACAGGUCUGUAAUGCCCUUAAAUGUUCCGGGCUGCACACGUGCUACAAUGAUUAUUGCAGUGAGCAUUUCAUUUACAGCMCUGUUUUUUCAUUUUUUUUUUUAUUUUUUUUAUUUAAUUUUUAAAGAUGAGCAGUCAAAGCCUGCUUCGAAAGUUCGCAGGUAAUCAAUUGGAAGUAAUGAUUUCCCUUAACUCAAAUUUGUUUUUGAUUUUGUGAGCACACAAUAUGCUGCUCCCUUCCCUGGCAUUUAGCUAAUUUUUGUCUAUUUGUCAUUGUGUGUGGGGAUGUUUUCAGCAUGUGCUUUUUUGUCAAUUCAUGGUGGGGACAGACCAUUGUUAAUUGUUGGUCUCGGUCUCAACUAGGAAUGCCUUGUACGGGUCUUUGGUUCAACAAACCACCCGGAAUACGUCCCUGCCCUUUGUACACACCGCCCGUCGCUCUUACCGAUGGACUUCUCUGUGAGUUUGAGGGACUGGGUACCUUAGUUUUUUUUUUUAUAUUAAAAGCUAUAAUCACUUAUGGAAACUUAAACGAACAGUGUGGUCUAAAGGAAAGAGAAGUCGUAACAAGGCAUCGGUAGGUGAACCU